rnacentral:rRNA from 1 species
CCAGACUCCUACGGGAGGCAGCAGUGAGGAAUAUUGGUCAAUGGGCGCGAGCCUGAACCAGCCAAGUCGCGUGAGGGAUGACGGUCCUACGGAUUGUGAACCUCUUUUGCCGGGGAGCAAGCGUGCGUUCGUGAACGCGCGUCGAGAGUACCCGGAGAAAAAGCAUCGGCUAACUCCGUGCCAGCAGCCGCGGUAAUACGGAGGAUGCGAGCGUUAUCCGGAUUUAUUGGGUUUAAAGGGUGCGUAGGCGGAACAUUAAGUCAGCGGUAAAAUCGAGGGGCUCAACCCCUUUAAGCCGUUGAAACUGGUGAUCUUGAGUGGGCGAGAAGUAUGCGGAAUGCGUGGUGUAGCGGUGAAAUGCAUAGAUAUCACGCAGAACUCCGAUUGCGAAGGCAGCAUACCGGCGCCCGACUGACGCUGAGGCACGAAAGCGUGGGGAUCGAACAGGAUUAGAUACCCCCGUAA